rnacentral:piRNA from 1 species
UUGAUGAUGAGCUGUGAUGUGGAACUACAA